rnacentral:rRNA from 1 species
UACGAAGGGGGCUAGCGUUGUUCGGAAUUACUGGGCGUAAAGCGCACGUAGGCGGAUAUUUAAGUCAGGGGUGAAAUCCCGGGGCUCAACCCCGGAACUGCCUUUGAUACUGGGUAUCUCGAGUCCGAGAGAGGUGAGUGGAAUUCCGAGUGUAGAGGUGAAAUUCGUAGAUAUUCGGAGGAACACCAGCGGCGAAGGCGGCUCACUGGCUCGGUACUGACGCUGAGGUGCGAAAGCGUGGGGAGCAAACAGG